UACGUAGGGUGCGAGCGUUAAUCGGAAUUACUGGACGUAAAGCGUGCGCAGGCGGUUUUGUAAGCCAGAUGUGAAAUCCCCGGGCUUAACCUGGGAAUGGCAUUUGGGACUGCAAGGCUGGAGUUUGGCAGAGGAGACUGGAAUUCCCGGUGUAGCAGUGAAAUGCGUAGAUAUCGGGAGGAAUACCGAUGGCGAAGGCAGGUCUCUGGGCUAUAACUGACGCUCAUGCGCGAAAGCGUGGGGAGCAAACAGG
rnacentral:rRNA from 1 species